CUUUCUGAAACAGGCUUAACAUAUGUUCUUACUAAUCUGUUUUUCUUGAAGUGAUUUAAAGGCAAGGCACUGCCAAGCACAGUGGAAUAGAAGAUUUGCUCUCGUGGGUGACGGACCGUCAGGAAGAACAAGCUCUUCUCACAAUAUCUGGGACACCGGCUCAUUGUGGCUUCCAUGAAUACAGGGGAAAUUCCUGGCAUGUUCCAGGACCAAGAAAUGUGAAGGCCCCUCAGUGACUGAAAAUUGGACUGAACCUUUCUUGAAGAGUUAUCUCACCAACUUGGAGGAAACUGAAUACCUACAGGACACAGGCAUAAAGCAGAGACAAAUCCGAGUGGUUAAUCUCUCUUCCCCCCCUUUCCCAGCCUCGGGGGCUGGGGGGCGACGGAGGAGGGAGCAAGCACCAGCCCAGAGCCGGGCCAGGCCUCCCCGGGGAGGGGCUGAGGCAGCGGCUGGGCUGCGGGAGCUGCAUGGAGGAGGGGAGUUUCACAGACUCCUCUGCCCGGCCGGGAGGAGAAGGAGGAGGAGGAAGUUUGGAGAUUAAGCCGCUGCCCGGAGCUCGAGCGCACGGAGUGAGCCGAGGCGCGGCCACGGGCGCUGCGAGGGGGA
rnacentral:lncRNA from 1 species